AGCUUCCAGAAAGUAUUUGCAAACCUGUAUAUAUAUUCACGCACAUCAAAAGUCACGCAAAUAGAACCACAAAUUAGAAGUUCAUUUAGACAAGAAAAAUUCUAUCUCAUCAUAUCAGCGCAAAUUAUGGCUACAAACUACGCUUCUUCUCAAGGCUAAAAUGAUAUCCUUUUGCAUAUUUGUUUUUAUCUGGUUUGUCUUUGAGUUUAAGCAUGAAAGCAAUUGCCUGAAUAUGUCCAUGUCAUGAGUUCAGUUUUUCAUAUAUACCAAACUUAAAGAGAUCAGACUUUGAAAAUCUCAUCUUUUCCAAAUACCAUACAAAUCCUUUUUCAUCUUACCUUCCUUGACAUUGUUUCUUUUUCAGUAUGAAGGGAUUUAGAAAAAAAAAUUGAAAAGAAUCUCUCUUUCCCUUUAAAAUCCACUAUCCUUUCUCUCAAUAUUUUUAUCUCUUCAGUAAUAUUUUCACACUUAUUCUUAAAACACCUUCUUGGGAGUUUUUUUUUCCCCAAUUACUAAAUUGAUAAGAACUCUCAAAGCACUCUCUCUGUAUGUCCAGUAGACUUGAAAUCAUGGUUUUAAAAAAUGGCUGUUACAUUACGUUACAUAGUGGUCAUUAUUUAAAGGCUUUUUGGCUUACCGUUACAGUUACCACCGUUAUUUAACGGAUUUUUGAAUUUGUAAUUGUAAAGGCCAUUAUGGCCGUUAUUUAAAAGUAAUGGCCGUUAUUUAAAAGUAAUGGCCGUUAUCAACCGUUAACUAAUGCUCAUAACGGCCUUUACUUUUCCAACUAAGAAUUCCAACUAAGGUAACGGUCAUAAUCAAGAUAAUCAAGGAUCUCCUAGACACUCAUUUUGGUUGUAAUAAGGUUAGUUGUUUACUAUCUUC
rnacentral:misc_RNA from 1 species